GAUGAACGCUGGCGGCGUGCCUAAUACAUGCAAGUCGAGCGAACAGACGAGGAGCUUGCUCCUCUGACGUUAGCGGCGGACGGGUGAGUAACACGUGGAUAACCUACCUAUAAGACUGGGAUAACUUCGGGAAACCGGAGCUAAUACCGGAUAAUAUAUUGAACCGCAUGGUUCAAUAGUGAAAGACGGUUUUGCUGUCACUUAUAGAUGGAUCCGCGCCGCCUUAGCUAGUUGGUAAGGUAACGGCUUACCAAGGCGACGAUGCGUAGCCGACCUGAGAGGGGGAUCGGCCACACUGGAACUGAGACACGGUCCAGACUCCUACGGGAGGCAGCAGUAGGGAAUCUUCCGCAAUGGGCGAAAGCCUGACGGAGCAACGCCGCGUGAGUGAUGAAGGUCUUCGGAUCGUAAAACUCUGUUAUGAGGGAAGAACAAAUGUGUAAGUAACUAUGCACGUCUUGACGGUACCUAAUCAGAAAGCCACGGCUAACUACGUG
rnacentral:rRNA from 1 species